rnacentral:rRNA from 1 species
UACAUAGGUGGCGAGCGUUAUCCGGAAUUAUUGGGCGUAAAGGGUACACAGGCUGUUAAAUUAGUCUGAUGUGAAAGACUGGGGCUCAACCCCAGUUUGCAUCGGAAACUGUUUAACUAGAAUGCAGGAGAGAGUAGUGGAAUUUAUUGUGUAGCGGUGGAAUGCAUAAAUAUAAUAAGGAACACCAGUUGCGAAGGCGGCUACUUGAACUGUGAUUGACGCUUAAGUACGAAAGCGUGGGUAGCAAAUAGG